AGUGAACGCUGGCGGUAGGCCUAACACAUGCAAGUCGAACGGCAGCACAGUAAGAGCUUGCUCUUACGGGUGGCGAGUGGCGGACGGGUGAGGAAUACAUCGGAAUCUACUUUUUCGUGGGGGAUAACGUAGGGAAACUUACGCUAAUACCGCAUACGACCUACGGGUGAAAUCAGGAGAUCUUCAGACCUUGCGCGAUUGAAUGAGCCGAUGUCGGAUUAGCUAGUUGGCGGGGUAAAGGCCCACCAAGGCGACGAUCCGUAGCUGGUCUGAGAGGAUGAUUAGCCACACUGGAACUGAGACACGGUCCAGACUCCGACGGGAGGCAGCAGUGGGGAAUAUUGGACAAUGGGCGCAAGCCUGAUCCAGCCAUACCGCGUGGGUGAAGAAGGCCUUCGGGUUGUAAAGCCCUUUUGUUGGGAAAGAAAAGCAGCAGGUUAAUACCCCGCUGUUCUGACGGUACCCAAAGAAUAAGCACCGGCUAACUUCGUG
rnacentral:rRNA from 1 species